AGCGAACGCUGGCGGCAGGCCUAACACAUGCAAGUCGAACGAAGUCUUCGGACUUAGUGGCGGACGGGUGAGUAACACGUGGGAACGUGCCUUUAGGUUCGGAAUAACUCAGGGAAACUUGUGCUAAUACCGAAUGUGCCCUUCGGGGGAAAGAUUUAUCGCCUUUAGAGCGUCCCGCGUCUGAUUAGCUAGUUGGUGAGGUAAAGGCUCACCAAGGCUACGAUCAGUAGCUGGUCUGAGAGGAUGACCAGCCACAUUGGGACUGAGACACGGCCCAAACACCUACGGGAGGCAGCAGUGGGGAAUCUUGCGCAAUGGGCGAAAGCCUGACGCGGCCAUGCCGCGUGGAUGAUGAAGGUCUUAGGAUUGUAAAAUCCUUUCACCGGUGAAGAUAAUGACUGUAGCCGGAGAAGAAGCCCCGGCUAACUUCGUGCCAGCCGCCGCAGUAACAC
rnacentral:rRNA from 1 species